AACACAUGCAAGUCGAACGGUAACAGGCCGCUGCGAUCCCUUCGGGGUGAGCUUGGCGCUGACGAGUGGCGGACGGGUGAGUAAUACUUGGGAAUCUGCCCAGUAGUGGGGACAACCCGGUGAAAACCGGGCUAAUACCGCAUACGUCCUACGGGAGAAAGUGGGGGAUCUUCGGACCUCACGCUAUUGGAUGAGCCCAAGUCGGAUUAGCUUGUUGGUGGGGUAAUGGCUUACCAAGGCGACGAUCCGUAGCUGGUCUGAGAGGACGAUCAGCCACACUGGGACUGAGACACGGCCCAGACUCCUACGGGAGGCAGCAGUGGGAAUAUUGGACAAGUGGGGCAACCCUGAUCCAGCAAUGCCGCGUGUGUGAAGAAGGCCUGCGGGUUAGUAAAGCUACUUUCAGUAGAGAAGAAAGCCGUGGGAUAACUACCCCGGGUCUUGACGUAACCUACAGAAGAAGCACCGGCUAACUCCGUG
rnacentral:rRNA from 1 species